rnacentral:rRNA from 1 species
GAUGAACGCUGGCGGCGUGCUUAACACAUGCAAGUCGAGCGCGUCUGAUUUGAUGCUUGCAUUGAUGAAAGAUGAGCGGCGGACGGGUGAGUAACGCGUGGGUAACCUGCCCUAUACACAUGGAUAACAUACUGAAAAGUUUACUAAUACAUGAUAAUAUAUAUUUACGGCAUCGUAGAUAUAUCAAAGUGUUAGCGGUAUAGGAUGGACCCGCGUCUGAUUAGCUAGUUGGUGAGAUAACUGCCCACCAAGGCGACGAUCAGUAGCCGACCUGAGAGGGUGAUCGGCCACAUUGGAACUGAGACACGGUCCAAACUCCUACGGGAGGCAGCAGUGGGGAAUAUUGCACAAUGGGCGCAAGCCUGAUGCAGCAACGCCGCGUGAACGAUGAAGGUCUUCGGAUCGUAAAGUUCUGUUGCAGGGGAAGAUAAUGACGGUACCCUGUGAGGAAGCCCCGGCUAACUACGUGCCAGCAGCCGCGGUAAUACGUAGGGGGCUAGCGUUAUCCGGAUUUACUGGGCGUAAAGGGUGCGUAGGUGGUCUUUCAAGUCGGUGGUUAAAGGCUACGGCUCAACCGUAGUUAGCCUCCGAAACUGGAAGACUUGAGUGCAGGAGAGGAAAGUGGAAUUCCCAGUGUAGCGGUGAAAUGCGUAGAUAUUGGGAGGAACACCAGUAGCGAAGGCGGCUUUCUGGACUGCAACUGACACUGAGGCACGAAAGCGUGGGUAGCAAACAGG